CAAAAACCAGACUCCAUCCCUCAUGAGCUUUUAGACUUUUCCAAUUGUCUGCAUGUGAGGCCCAAAAGAAGCAUUUCAGGAUUUACCAAUCAAGAGGGAGAAUAUGCAUACACCGUUUUUGAAAAACAAGGGAUGGUAAUUUUAUCAAACCUAGAAAUUUCGAAUCCCAAAUGCCUCAAGCUUAAAGGAAAAAAAUACUUCAGAGAUUUAGACAUUUUCAUGAAGUUUGACUCAAAAUCAGGAGAGGUUCCGGCCAUUCCCGAGCCCGGAACGAUCCCGUACUCCUGUCCUUAUGUUGAACCCUUGGAGCCGAUCCACACUCUUGAAUCCGUGCCCUGGAUCUUUGACCUGUACAA